rnacentral:rRNA from 1 species
GACGAACGCUGGCGGCGUGCCUAAUACAUGCAAGUUGAGCGCUGAAGGUUGGUACUUGUACCAACUGGAUGAGCAGCGAACGGGUGAGUAACGCGUGGGGAAUCUGCCUUUGAGCGGGGGACAACAUUUGGAAACGAAUGCUAAUACCGCAUAAAAACUUUAAACACAAGUUUUAAGUUUGAAAGAUGCAAUUGCAUUACUCAAAGAUGAUCCCGCGUUGUAUUAGCUAGUUGGUGAGGUAAAGGCUCCCCAAGGCGAUGAUACAUAGCCGACCUGAGAGGGUGGUCGGCCACAUUGGGACUGAGACACGGCCCAAACUCCUACGGGAGGCAGCAGUAGGGAAUCUUCGGCAAUGGACGAAAGUCUGACCGAGCAACGCCGCGUGAGUGAAGAAGGUUUUCGGAUCGUAAAACUCUGUUGGUAGAGAAGAACGUUGGUGAGAGUGGAAAGCUCAUCAAGUGACGGUAACUACCCAGAAAGGGACGGCUAACUACGUG